CAAUAGCGUAUAUUAAAGUUGUUGCAGUUAAAAAGCUCGUAGUUGGAUUUCGGGGCAGCCUGGCUGGUCCGCCGCAAGGCGAGUACUGGUCCGCCGCCCUUCCUCUCGAAAGCCCCGACUGCUCUUUAUUGCAGUGGUCGGGUAGUUCGGGACGUUUACUUUGAAAAAAUUAGAGUGUUCAAGGCAGGCCUACGCCUGAAUACAUUAGCAUGGAAUAAUGGAAGAGGACCUCGGUCCUAUUUUGUUGGUUUCCAGGACCGAAGUAAUGAUUAAGAGGGACAGUUGGGGGCAUUCGUAUUUAAUUGUCAGAGGUGAAAUUCUCGGAUUUAUGAAAGACGAACAACAGCGAAAGCAUUUGCCAAGGAUGUUUUCAUUAA
rnacentral:rRNA from 1 species